rnacentral:rRNA from 1 species
AACGAACGCUGGCGGCAGGCCUAACACAUGCAAGUCGAGCGGACAGUCGGGGGAGUGGCGGACGGGUGGGUAGCGGGUGGGGAGAUGAACAUCUGUGUAGAAUAGCCUUGGGAAACUGAGAGUAAUACGGUACACGGGCUGUGAGGGGAAGAUGUAUCGGGGAAGGAUUAGGGCGCGUUGGAUUAGGGGGUUGGUGGGGUAAUGGCAUACCAGGGCGACGUUCCAUAGCUGGUGUGAGAGGAUGAGCAGCCACGCUGGGACUGAGACACGGCCCCGACUCCUACGGGAGGCAGCAGUGGGUAAUCUUAGACAAUGGGGGCAACCCUGAUCUAGCCAUGCCGCGUGAGUGAUGAAGGCCUUAGGGUUGUAAAGCUCUUUCAGCUGGGAAGAUAAUGACGGUACCGGCAGAAGAAGCCCCGGCUAACUCCGUG